rnacentral:rRNA from 1 species
CCAUGCAGUCGAACGGCAGCACGAGAGAGCUUGCUCUCUUGGUGGCGAGUGGCGGACGGGUGAGUAAUAUAUCGGAACGUGCCCAGUAGCGGGGGAUAACUACUCGAAAGAGUGGCUAAUACCGCAUACGCCCUACGGGGGAAAGGAGGGGAUCUUCGGACCUUUCACUAUUGGAGCGGCCGAUAUCGGAUUAGCUAGUUGGUGGGGUAAAGGCCUACCAAGGCGACGAUCCGUAGCUGGUUUGAGAGGACGACCAGCCACACUGGGACUGAGACACGGCCCAGACUCCUACGGGAGGCAGCAGUGGGGAAUUUUGGACAAUGGGGGAAACCCUGAUCCAGCCAUCCCGCGUGUGUGAUGAAGGCCUUCGGGUUGUAAAGCACUUUUGACAGGGAAGAAAUAGCAGGGGCUAAUAUCCUCUGUGAAUGACGGUACCUGUAGAAUAAGCACCGGCUAACUACGUGCCAGCAGCCGCGGUAAUACGUAGGGGUGCAAGCGUUAAUCGGAAUUACUGGGCGUAAAGGGUACGCAGGCGGCUAGGAAAGAAAGAUGUGA